rnacentral:rRNA from 1 species
ACAAGCGGUGGAGUAUGUGGUUUAAUUCGAUGCAACGCGAAGAACUUACCUGGUCUUGACAUCCCGGAGACCCUUAGGAAACUAGGGGUGCUUCCAUCUGGAAGAAUCUGGAGACAGGUGCUGCAUGGCUGUCGUCAGCUCGUGUCGUGAGAUGUUGGGUUAAGUCCCGCAACGAGCGCAACCCUUGCCUUUAGUUGCCAGCAGUUCGGCUGGGCACUCUAAAGGGACUGCCGGUGUUAAACCGGAGGAAGGUGGGGAUGACGUCAAGUCCUCAUGGCCUUUAUGACCAGGGCUACACACGUACUACAAUGGCCGAUACAAAGGGCAGCGACACUGCGAGGUGAAGCCAAUCCCGUAAAAUCGGUCUCAGUCCGGAUUGGAGUCUGCAACUCGACUCCAUGAAGUUGGAAUCGCUAGUAAUCGUGGAUCAGCAUGCCACGGUGAAUACGUUCCCGGGCCUU